rnacentral:rRNA from 1 species
AGUGAACGCUGGCGGUAGGCCUAACACAUGCAAGUCGAACGGCAGCACAGUAAGAGCUUGCUCUUACGGGUGGCGAGUGGCGGACGGGUGAGGAAUACAUCGGAAUCUACUUUUUCGUGGGGGAUAACGUAGGGAAACUUACGCUAAUACCGCAUACGACCUACGGGUGAAAGCAGGGGAUCUUCGGACCUUGCGCGAUUGAAUGAGCCGAUGCCGGAUUAGCUAGUUGGCGGGGUAAAGGCCCACCAAGGCGACGAUCCGUAGCUGGUCUGAGAGGAUGGUGAGCCACCCUGGAACUGCGACACGGUCCAGCCUCUUACGGGUGGCAGCAGUGGGGAAUAUUGGACAAUGGCCGCAAGCCUGAUCCAGCCAUACCGCGUGCGCGAAGAAGGCCUUCGGGUUGUAAAGCCCUUUUGUUGGGCAAGAAAAGCAGCAGGUUAAUACCCCGCUGUUCUGACGGUACCCAAAGAAUAAGCACCGGCUCACUUCGUG